GCCCGCCCUGCGCGCGCCUGUAGUCCCAGCUACUCGGGAGGCUGAGGCAGGAGGAUCGCUUGAGCCCAGGAGUUCUGGGCUGUAGUGCGCUAUGCCGAUCGGGUGUCCGCACUAAGUUCGGCAUCAAUAUGGUGACCUCCCGGGAGCGGGGGACCACCAGGUUGCCUAAGGAGGGGUGAAGGACACAGAACAAGAUGGAGUCGGCUGGCGUAGGCCCGCCCUUUCAUUUCCUUCAUCGCCAGGCCUGGAAUCAGGGUCUGCUGAU
ensembl:misc_RNA Metazoa_SRP Metazoan signal recognition particle RNA